rnacentral:rRNA from 1 species
UACGGAGGAUCCAAGCGUUAUCCGGAUUUAUUGGGUUUAAAGGGUGCGUAGGCGGCAGAUUAAGUUAGAGGUGAAAUUCCGAGGCUCAACCUUGGCACUGCCUCUGAUACUGGUUUGCUAGCGAGUAGAUGCUGUAGGCGGAAUGUGUGGUGUAGCGGUGAAAUGCAUAGAGAUCACACAGAACACCGAUUGCGAAGGCAGCUUACAAAUCUAUAUCGGACGCUGAGGCACGAAAGCGUGGGGAGCAAACA